GACUUUAUUUCUGUGCUUAGUUAUGAAAAUUGUUAUCUAUAUAACAAUAUGCAGUUUCUAUGAUCACUGAAAAUUAAUUUACGUAUCAUUAACCACUAUCUUAAGAAAUUAAUAUCACGUAAAGUCCAAAUAAGGUUAUAAAAGGUAAAAACGCGAUCAUCACGCUAUAUUCGGCGAAAAUUUUAUCAUUGUGAUUAAUUUCAAUAUCGAAAAGUGCAAAACACAGCUUUAUAAGGUAGUUAUGUAUUAAAAUCGUUGUCUUGCAAACAGCAACAGUGAAUGCUGCAGUACUUUAUUUGAAAUAUCGCGUGCGUAUUAGGCCCAAAUGCAAAAUGGAGAAUUCGCAAUUCCUCCCAUUAUUGUGAAUUAGCAGUAGCAACUGUAGCAAGUCAAUCAAUAAUUAAUAAUCAAAAAGUUUAUUUGCGUCUUUGAUUCAAUUGAUCAAGUAAUAACUGAAUUUUAGUAUGAACUGACGAAACCGUCCUUUAGAGUAUUGUACUCUAUUACUCUAUAUCAUUUAAGCGUGCUCUAUAAUCUAUCUAUCUAUAACACUAAUAGAGUACGCUAAAAUACCCUUUUUUUUACACAUUUUUACUAUUCAUAUAAUUAGGCAAAAACACAUAAUCAAAACCAAAAAAAAAAAAAAAAAAGUCGUCUAUUUACUUUGGAUGAUCUUGAACGCAGCCACUAAUGUCAUUACAAACGUCAAAUGUCACAUGUGACAAGUUAUUUUGAGAAGUUUUGAGGUUUGUUUUGUUUUGUUUGUGACUUUGCUUUUGUUUGUUUGGAAUACUUUUAUCCAUUCGUCAUGACGUGAUUGAUAAACAUGAUAACGCCGAUCAAGCAUCCUGUACUGAUAAUAAUAACGCAAGCACCCCAUCUAAAAAUUGAAAAGUUUUGACGAAGAAAAAGGACACAGAAGUACACACAACUUUGGGAAAAUGAGUUUUCAUGGCUAAGAAAAGACUCAGAAAGUGAUACAAAUGCAAAAUCCAUAAUCUGUGGCGAAGUUUUCUCUCUAUUCCAUCAGCUGGAGUUGGACACGAUAGGAAUAUUUACAUAUUGUAUGAUGAAUAUGAUGAUGAUAAAGAAAACGAUGAUUUAAAUAUGAAGAUAUAAUUGGAAUAAUCAUAAAAUGAGAAUAUGCAUAUAAAAAUCUACAUAAUGAGAAUGGCUGACUGGUCAGUAUUGAUCUAUUAAAUCAAGAUCGUUAAAACACUUUAAUAUAAUUACAAAGAAAAGGCUGAUUUAAUAUGGAGACACAAGAAUAUAAGACAUAAAAUGAAAGGAUUGGAAUACCUACAUUAUAAGAAUAUGGAAAGAAAAUACUUACAUUUUAUACACAUAAUACAAGAAUGUAUUGGAAUAUUAAGAGAAUGGCUGUCUAAAGCUCUAUUAAAUCAAGAUGGUUAACACACUUUAAUAAAAUUACAAAGAAAAUGUUGAUUCAAUAUGAAGACACAAGAAUAUUAGAAUUUGAAUA